rnacentral:tRNA from 1 species
UCAGCUUUGGUGCAGUAGGUAGCGCAUCAGUCUCAGGAGCUGAAGGUCCAGAGUUCGGUCCUCUUAAGGAGGG